rnacentral:rRNA from 1 species
CCUACGGGGGGCUGCAGUGAGGAAUAUUGGUCAAUGGACGAGAGUCUGAACCAGCCAAGUAGCGUGAAGGAUGACUGCCCUAUGGGUUGUAAACUUCUUUUAUAAAGGAAUAAAACGAGGCACGUGUGCCUUUUUGCAUGUACUUUAUGAAUAAGCAUCGGCUAACUCCGUGCCAGCAGCCGCGGUAAUACGGAGGAUCCGAGCGUUAUCCGGAUUUAUUGGGUUUAAAGGGAGCGUAGAUGGGUUGUUAAGUCAGUUGUGAAAGUUUGCGGCUCAACCGUAAAAUUGCAAUUGAUACUGGCAGUCGUGAGUACAGUUGAGGUAGGCGGAAUUCGUGGUGUAGCGGUGAAAUGCUUAGAUAUCACGAAGAACCCCGAUUGCGAAGGCAGCUUACUAAACUGUGACUGACAUUGAUGCUCGAAAGUGUGGGUAUCAAACAGGAUUAGAUACCCUAGUAGUC